rnacentral:lncRNA from 1 species
AAACGAAAUGCAAUUAUUUUCGGAACAACUUUCGUCUGGUGAAUGGAGAAAUUAAAAUUCUUCUUGUUCUUCUUGGAUACUCGCGAGUCGCGACUUUCCUCUGUUCCACAGCUAGAAGUGUCAUUAAACGAGAUGUUUUCAAAACAACCCAAUAGAUGCAUUAGUUAUAACACUUUAUAAAUAGCUCUACUUCAGCUAUACCCAUUUCGGUUGUUACUACGAGAAAAUGAGAUCGCAUCUUGUAUCAGUCUCGCCAAUCUUUAAGUCAUCAUCGUGAAGUUGUACAUCUGUACAGCAAAUAAGAUGUCUCUUUGCACAUCCAUUAAUACUGCAAAAGAAUUCUUUUUUGAUUAAAGAAGAAGUCCAAUAUCGGCAGCAAUCUGCAGAAUAAUCCAACUCGUCGCAGUAAGUGAUGAUUUGAUUUUCCUUAUGGCGAAGUUUUGAAGUAAAAGGACGAAGGCGGUGAGGUUCGAAUUCGUCCACCAGGGGGUGUGGUCUUCGGUAGCCAAAUCAAUUCACGUGACGUCAUUCGUUUCUGGACGCUGAUGCUGUAUGGUGUAUUAUGAUUUGUAUUCGAUUACUUCGGGUUUCCAACAUUUUCCACCAUGAAUAUAGAAAGUCCCACUCCCAGUGUGUCAUCUGACCAUGUGGCCUGAAAUUGCUGUCCGUGUGCCGGAAUGUCGUCUCGUACCAGAAACUUAAUUUCAAUGCUAAUUCAAUCUUUUUAAGCUGGUGAACGGUGGUGUUUGCUGCUUAAUGUGUUGAUGGUGAAAGGUGUGCUCAACUCGGAACAAGCUGUUGUUGUCUCUUGUGUUGGUGAAUCUACAGUUACUUUGCUAACCUUCUUCAGCUUCUCUGGAUACAAUAUUCAACAUGUUAAACUGUUUGAUGCCAAAGUUGUCAGAAUUCUAACCCUAACAGUUGCUGCUGCCUCUCACCCACAAGCAGAAAAGUUACUCAAUUUCUUAAGACAAAAGUUCAACAGCCAGCUGAUAUCUCUGCAUUGUUGUUUAACACAACAUGGUUAUUUGGUGUAGCCAGCCGGUGAAAGGCGUCAUCAAAUCAAGUUCAGCUGUGGCACGGAGUCUGUGGUGCCGGUGUAUUCUGGAGCGUGUUGGUGUUCUGUGAAAUGUUUUGCUUAAACUGUUUUGUGUGUCCUUUGGGCCCACCUAGGUUAGGUUCUUUUGUUAACAUGUUUCCGUACCGGAACCUAGCGUUGGGCCCAAGAUACUUGAGGAGAUUAUUUGCCAUUGAAGUAAUUUAUGAUAGACAAAUGCAUAUUGUACUCUCUUCAGUGAAGCCUCGUUUCCAUAACUAACAAACGACCGCUGUGCAAUACUCCAAAAGGAGAAGGAAGUCGGUGAAAUAAUGAACAGCUAGUCCCACUGCGGAACCCGAAAUGAGCGGCGAGAUUGUCUCAAAUGUUGAUCUGAUCUAACUAUUUCCAGAAGUAGAUCAUAUCUUUUAGUUCAAUCGUUCGCCGCCGUUCCAUCAACAAUAUCCAUUGUCGAUACUGAUGAGAGGCUGAAAUUUGAGAUUGAUUGAUAAAUCACAAGUGUAUAUAUCUGUGUUCCCUCUCUGUUUCCUUAAGUAAACAGUAAGCAACUCCCCCCCCCUCAAUCACCCUCUGUGAUAACCGUGAUGAAACGCAUGAUUUGAGCAAAACCUUUGAAGGGCUUUCAGUCUAACCCUCCUUUGAUUAAUCGCUCCCGUAAUAACAUUUUCACAACUCCUUAAUUUUUGUAUAUAAUUCCUUUUUUUUUCCUUCACAUAUCAUGCUAUCUUUACUUUACAAGUGCAUAUCAUAUCUUUGCUCUCUCCCCGUUUCCUUAAGUAAACAGUAAGUAACCAACUUCCCCCUCCCAGUCGUCAACCCACAUGAUACGAGCAAAACAUUUGAAAUUUUUUUAGUCUAACCCUCCUAUGAAUAAUUACUCCCGUAAUAACCGA